GAACGCUAGCGGCAGGCUUAACACAUGCAAGUCGAGGGGCAGCAUAAUGAAGUAGCAAUACUGAAUUGAUGGCGACCGGCGCACGGGUGCGUAACGCGUAUGUAACCUACCUCUAACAGGGGGAUAACACUGAGAAAUUGGUACUAAUACCCCCAUAACACUUGAUAGGGCAUCCUAUUGAGUUGAAAGUUCCGGCGGUUAUAGAUGGGCAUGCGUUGUAUUAGCUAGUAGGUGAGGUAACGGCUCACCUAGGCGACGAUACAUAGGGGGACUGAGAGGUUAACCCCCCACACUGGUACUGAGACACGGACCAGACUCCUACGGGAGGCAGCAGUGAGGAAUAUUGGUCAAUGGACGCAAGUCUGAACCAGCCAUGCCGCGUGCAGGACGACGGCUCUAUGAGUUGUAAACUGCUUUUGUACAAGGGUAAACCCUGGGACGUGUCCCAGGCUGAAAGUACUGUACGAAUAAGGAUCGGCUAACUCCGUG
rnacentral:rRNA from 1 species